UUUUGGAGAUGAUGAUUCUCAUCAGAGGCUGUUUCUGAGGGGAGCCAAGAGCUUUUUCCCUGUGCUGCAAGAAAACUGAUUGCCGUUCUGAUCCAAAG
rfam:Zea mays cultivar B73 chromosome 1, whole genome shotgun sequence.